CCUACGGGUGGCUGCAGUGGGGAAUCUUGCGCAAUGGGCGAAAGCCUGACGCAGCGACGCCGCGUGAGCGAUGAAGGCCUUCGGGUUGUAAAGCUCUGUGGGGAGAGAAGAAUAAGGGUUGGCUAACAUCCAACCUGAUGACGGUAUCUCCUUAGCAAGCACCGGCUAACUCUGUGCCAGCAGCCGCGGUAAGACAGAGGGUGCAAACGUUGGUGUAAAUCACUGGGCGUAGAGCGGGCAAGUCGGGUUUGAAAUCCCACGGCUCAACCAUGGAAGUGCAUUCGAAACUGCCAGACUAGAGUCCUGGAGAGGAAGGCGGAAUACUCGGUGUAGAGGUGAAAUUCGUAGAUAUCGAGAGGAACACCGGUGGCGAAGGCGGCCUUCUGGACAGUGACUGACGCUGAAACGCGAAAGCGUGGGGAGCAAACAGGAUUAGAUACCCGGGUAGUC
rnacentral:rRNA from 1 species